CUACGGGUUGCUGCAGUCGAGGAAAUUUUACAAUGCUCGAAAGAGUGAUAAAAUAAACCAGAGUGUUUCUCCUAGAGAAACUUUUGUAUGUUGUAAAAAGACAUGCGAAUAAGGACUGGGCAAGACCGGUGCCAGCCGCCGCGGUAAUACCGGCGGUCCAAGUCGCAUCCACAUUUAUUGGUCUAAAACAUUCGUAGCUUGUUUUGCAAGUCUCUUGUGAAAUCCUAUAUCUCAAAUAUAGGGCGGGCAAGAGAUACUGCUUUACUAGAGACCGGAAGACGUAAGGAGUACGAUUAAGGUAGCGGUAAAAUGUGUUAAUCUUUGUCGGACUAACAAUGGCGAAGGCACCUUACGAGUACGGAUCUGACAGUGAGGAAUGAAGGCUAGGGGCGCAAAACGGAUUAGAUACCCCUGUAGUC
rnacentral:rRNA from 1 species